ACCAGUGAAACAUUCUCCACAGGGACAGUGCAGCGGUUCUUCCCUGGAAAGACUGAUUCAGAAAUAAAGGGCUACAUACGACAGAAGCUUCAAAAUGAGGCCAAGAGACUCCGGAAAAAGCCACAUCCAGCGGAUGAUCCAUUGGUGGGCUCGUUUGAGAAGUAGAGAGCGAUGUUUGAGCCAUGAGUGUUGACUUCCAUUGGACAUCCCCAGUGAACAUAGUUAACUGAAGAAUUUAAAAUCAAAUUUAACGACACAAAAUUGUGUUAUUGACCUUAAAGGGAUAGUUCAGAAAAAGUUCUGUCAUUUACUUAACUUUCAUUUUUGCGGUUCCAAACCCAUAGGCAUACAGGUUUGAAACUACAUGAGGGCGAGUAAAUUAUCACAGAAUUUUCAUUUUUGAGUAAGGCGGCACAGUUAAUCUAAAUAACACCAAAAAGGCUGCAAUUUAAUUUAAUAAACAGAAUUUCAGAGUGAAA